GGCCAGCAGGGAGAAGCAGGGCCUCUGCAUUGCAGGACUGCAUGUUUCCUCGGCUGUCACAGGCACAAACUCGGAUGGUAAGUGUGCCAGUGCUGCUCUGGAUUGGAUAGUCAUUGUCCGAUAUCACCACUGGUAAGAGACAAUUACAGUACCAUCAGAGACUUGGAUGGCAGAUGAGAUUCCAUGUCCAAAAAGGAAGUAUUUGACUUGCUUUCUGUUGACUUGAGCAAAAAGAGUUGUCACAACUUCUGUUUGAGGGUAGGUUGAAGUACGCCUUUCAGGUAAGUUACUGUUUUUUGUUGCCAAAAUAGCCCUUUUGUACUUGUUUCCUUCAGUGUCCAUUAUUUCACAGGUUCUUGUCAAAAUGAAGAAGAGACACUGUAGAACAGCCACUGUUUACAGUUUUUUCAUACUAGCCAUUAGUUCCUCCUAUUCUCCAAGCCUUGUCUAAUGAAGACUUGGGUCAGAGUCAUAUCUUAUUUUCUAAUCUAGACCAAGCUACUACAAUGUGACAGGAAGUGAUUCUUCCAAUUACCUUAUAGGGCUUGAAGCUGAAUCAGGAUCUCGUGCCAUUACUGUUCCUAUUAUUGUCCCCAACUCAAUAUCUUCAUGAACCUCAAAAAGUGUCUGCAUCUGUGGCUUUGAUGCUGCCAAUAGGUGUCCCAACUGGAGAAGACUCAGGAAUGCGGAGGUGGAUGGUACCUGUAAAAGAGACAAAGAGCCACUCAGGAGCCCCAUAAGCCAUUACACAUGCAAGGGUGAUGUUCUUACAGAUGUUGGUCAAGAUUAAAAUGGGAGUAUCAUGGAAGAAAAAAGGUUCUCCACAUACCAAAGAGAGUGGAAGCAAGGUGAAAGAUUGUCUACAUAUCCAUGUCAGUGGGCACAAUAUCUUUACUUCUGGAAAACAGUUGGAAGUAUGACAAUUGAAACAAUGAUCCGAAAACUGUCUUUAAUCGUCCUUCUUUUCAGAACCUUGAUAACAUAUUUGUGCAGGCAGAGCAGGAAGGGCACAAGGUGCUGCUUUCUUCUGAUCUGGGAAUACUAGAGUGCAAUACUCUAUUGACACAUAGUGACCACCUGUCACAAUGGGCAGGCUGAGACAGAAACCCAGACUGAGAGGCAGUUCCCUGCUGAUGUGUGACCCAGGCAGUGCACCUGAGGAGUGAAAGACCUGCCCAGACCUUCAGCUGUGGGAAAUUCCAGAAUCUGGCAUGAAGGAAGAACAAGGUGUCAUGGGUGCAAGUGUGCCCAGAUUGAUGAACUUUUUGAGCAGGUGUCCAGAGUGUGAAGGCUGACUUAGUUACCAAGCCACUCUCCAUCUUAUUUGAGAAGUUGAGGCUGUCAGGUGAAACCCCCAGUGGCUGAAAAUGACAAAGACCUUGGGAACUAGAGGCUGGUAAAAGCCUCACAUCUCUGCCUGGGAAGAUCAUAGAGUGGAUCCUCCUGGAAGAGAUCGUAUGGCACAUGCAAGAUUCAUCAAGAUCACACCUGACCAAUCUCAUAGUCUUCUAUGAUGGAGCAACAGCAUCAGCAGACAAAGGAAAUGCAACUGAUGUAGGCUAUCUGGUCUUAUGCAAGGCCUUAAGUCAUGGACCUGCACCGCAUUCGUAUCCAUAAUUUUGAGAGAGAUGGGUUUGGGUUUGAAGGAUACACUAUUCAGUGGAUACAGAAUUGUUUGGAUAACUGUAUCCAGAGGAUGGUUUUCAAUGGUUCCAUGUCACAAUUAGCGGCCCCGAGGGGUCUGUUUUGGGACCAGUGAUUUUUAACAUCUCCAUCAACAACAUAGAGAGGAUAGAGUGCAUCCUCAUCAAGUUUGCUAACAAGACCAAGUUGAGUGGUGCAGUUGACACAAUAGAAGUAAGGGAUGUCAUCCAAAGGGACCUGGACAGAAUUGAAAAUGGAACCCACAUGAAACUAAUGAAGUUUAACAGGGCCAAGUCGAAGGUAUUGCGCCUGAAUCAGGGCAAUCCCAGAUAUGUGUGCAGACUGGGAGAAGUACUCAUUGAGAGCAAUCCUACAGAGAAGGAUUGUGAGUCCUGGUGCAUGAACCAGCAGUGUGUGCUUACAGCCCAGAAGGCCAAGAGUUUUCUGGGCUGCAUCAAAAGAACGUUGGCCAUCAAGAAGAGGGAGAUGACUGAUCCUCUCUACUGUCCGCAUAUGACCCCGUCUGGAGUACUGUGUCCAAACCCAGGGCCUCCAGCAGAGGAAGGUUGUGGAGCUGUUGGAGUGGGUCCAGAGGAAGGGUUCUGUGUUAAAUGUCAGCAUGUGAUCACAGGAGAACACAAUUAGAGGAACAGUCACUGAUACAGACACAGUUUUAAGGGGAUUUUUAAGUGUUUGGAAAAAUAUUCUGAAGAGGGCCCAGUCUAUACAUUAGGGCAAAGAGGACAAAGAGGAAUCUAUGUUUUUUUUUGUGUGUGUGUGUGUGUGUGUGUGUGUGUUUGUUUUUGAUGAAAACAAAAAACAUAGUUUUUCAUAAUUCCAAUGAGUUUCUUUGUGGGAGAAGUUUAAUUCAUCCUUUUAUAUUACUGAGUCCUGUGAAAACAUAUCAAAAUUUGUAAUAAUUGAUAAAUUUCAUAAGAAUACAAUCAUCUUAUGAACCUAACAGGAGUCUGUUAUUAGUAGAACAGAACUGAGCAGGCAUAAGUUCUCACAGUCUCAUUGAAUUCUAUUUAGAGAUUAAAAAUAAAGAUUCCUAAAAAAAAAAAAAAAAGAAGUAACCGUUGACUUUUAACUUUGUUAUAACCAGUGAAAUUACAUUAACCUUUAUAAAUAUUUUAGAUUUCAUUUCUAGUGAAACAUGUUUGUAGUUAGCAUGACUAUUGGCAGAGAGAAAAACAAAGUAAAACAAAAGCCCACCAAGAAUUAAAAUUAAUUUAAACAAAAGGUCCCAUCUAAUUCACACUGACAGUAGAAAAAUGCACAUUUAUUUCUGAGAUGCUACACCAGAUCCUCAUCCGAGUCCAAUGAAUAUCAUGUUGGACUACCAUAUAAGUCAUGUAAAUACAGUCUAGAAAGCUGAUUCCACUGUUCUAGGUAUUAGUUUCACACAGUGUUUAAGAAACAAGAACAGCAAAACAGAAAGACAAGGAAGGAAGAAGAGAGAAGAGAACAGGGAAGGCUUAACUGUAUAUUUAAUACUUAAAAAACAUCGUGGAGAUACAGAAGGACAUAAAAAGACAAAUUAACAAUAAAUACUGUCCAGAAUAGGGCUUGUGCAGCUAUGCACAAACUGUAAAUAUUCAGUUGUUUGUGAUAUUCCUAUUUGAGUGUAUUAUAAAUCCCAUACUGAUAAACAUCUUACCUAAAUACAUAUAUGCUUUAAUUACAGUGCUAAAUUGAACAAAAGCAUGUACUCCAUUUGUGCCGUAAGAACAUGCUAAAAUCAGAAUCAUUAGAACCAACUUCAGUUAUUGUAAGCCUGGAGGAUGAUUGUCAGUAACUACUGGAUUUAGUGGAGAAGAAGAACUAUUUGUUGAGAAUAACCCAAACCAUUUUGCAAAUAUUAUGAUUUCAGUGCAUGCAAAAUAUUUCAAAUACAUUUAAAAUACAUAAACUUUAAUGAAUUUCUAGUAACAUAAAUUUCCGUGUUAUAUAGAGAUCAAUAACGGUUUCAUAUUUUAGUUUGAGGUUAAAAUGUCUUGAUAGCUAUACUUUCAACAGUUAAAAAUUAGUAUAAAAUGCUUUGGUCAACAUAAGUAAUCAAAAAAUAAGUUAAAUGCCAUUUACUUCACUUCUGGAGAUCUAUCAGAUUUUGGAGCACUAUAACUAGAGAAGUACAAAUCUGCUUGAUUUCCUGCAAGUAAUUCCUUUUUCAAGUUCUACAUGAUUAAAUAUUUAAGCAGAUAAUACAAUUCAAACAUUUCUGUAUACCUGCAACAACUAUGUGUUUUAUUUUCUGGUAGGGGAAUCUCUAGGAAUUAAGCAAUAGGUAAGGGGAAAGAAAAACACUGCUCUAAUGCUCUUAUGAAUUCACCUCUCACCCUCUCCCAUAGAACUGGAAGGUAUCCUAGACCUGCCAUCACUAUAGCUGAUCAUGUAAAUGUUUUCCUAACAAAUAAGUGCUGUAACAUUUAAUAUUCUGCUUUAAUAAUAGUGAAUAAAUCAGUACAUAAGCCUU